rnacentral:rRNA from 1 species
GUGAGGAAUAUUGGUCAAUGGGCGCAAGCCUGAACCAGCCAAGUAGCGUGAGGGAAGACUGCCCUACGGGUUGUAAACCUCUUUUGUUUGGGAAUAAAGUGCGGGACGCGUCCCGCAUUGCAUGUACCAUUUGAAUAAGGACCGGCUAAUUCCGUGCCAGCAGCCGCGGUAAUACGGAAGGUCCGGGCGUUAUCCGGAUUUAUUGGGUUUAAAGGGAGCGCAGGCCGUGGGUUAAGCGUGUCGUGAAAUUCCGUCGCUCAACGGCGGACGUGCGGCGCGAACUGGUCCACUUGAGUACGCGGGACGUUGGCGGAAUUCGUGGUGUAGCGGUGAAAUGCUUAGAUAUCACGAAGAACUCCGAUUGCGAAGGCAGCUGACGGUAGCGCAACUGACGCUGAGGCUCGAAAGUGCGGGUAUCGAACAGGAUUAGAAACCCUAGUAGUCC